UACUGCUCUAGUCCCAGGAGUUGCCCAAGUCCCGAAUAAAUUCUGUCUUGCUCAAACUUUUAAAAUUUAAUUCACCUAAGGAAUUUUCCUUUUAACAGUUUUCAUGUAGUUGGCAAGAACCAAAGUUGAACUCCAAUAGCCCAGGAGCAACCAGGCCUAGAUACUAGAAGUCUAUCCUGUUCCUGUCUUGCUGCAUCUGGGAAUUAUAGUGGUAACCUCUGUGGAGACUUCAAACAAGGCUGGUUCAGCCAACGGGAGGAGGCAGCAAGCAGCCACUGAUACAGAAAUAACUCCCUGCCAGCCUGGCCUGCAUGUGGACAUUUCUGCUUUGCUUGUUAUCCUGGGCUAGCCAUGCAAAAUCAAGACUCACUGAUGGAGGAAGCAAUGUGCAUUACUGACUUCUUUCUUCAGCCCAAUGAACAGGAACAAAUGCAAGUCUGCAGUGAAGUAAGGUGAAUGGAACAUGGAAGAUUGGAAACAUAAGAGCCACCAUAAAGAAGAGAAAUUGUCCCCUGGGAAAAGAGAGAAGCAGCACAGCUGCCAGCCAUUGGAACUUCCACAUGGGAAGCUGACAGGAAGCAGGCCCAGCACAGGACACAGGUUCCAGAGAUGGCCUCAUCCUCAUCAGGCCACACACAAAGGUCAUCCAGCAGGACCACGGAGCCACCACUGCCAAAAUCCCCUGAGGUUUCCUGCUCCUCUUCUGGCACAAGAGAAAAAAAGGCUGAAGGGAUCAAACUCGGGACCUUGUGUUUGUGAGGCAGGUGCUGGAACCUGAGAGUGGCCUCAAACUCCUGAGCUCAAGCUGUCCUCCUGCCUCAACUUCCUGAGUAGCUGGGAUUAUAGGAACAUACCACUGUACCUGGUUGGAGAUCAUGUUUAUGCUGGUCGUACUGAAUUCAACAUUGACGAUGUAAUUUCUGACAACUCCUUACAAAAAUUCCAUCCAAACAAUUGUGGGAUCAGGGAUAGGGCAAAAUACUUUGCUUUAAACAAUGUGUUUUUGUAUUUUGACCAAAUAACAUACUAUGUGAAUAGAUUGUUGCAAAACUACAUGUAUUUAAGUGAUUGUGUGGAUCAGUAAUUUGAUCUCUGCCUAUUAGCUACAAGGUAGAAAAGCCCAUCACUAAGCGUCUUUGAGUUGAAUGCCUGGAGAGACCCCAUCAAAGUGGAAGUGCAAGACCCACUCUGAGCCUUCUCUCAGCUGCUGAUGGGAGAGAACUCUGCCCACUCCAUAGCUGAGCUCAGUGGUACCUCUCAGAGGUGGCUGCAUGUUAAUGGUGGGGAAGGGGAACAAGUGGCCAGGACUUACUUGCUAGGGAAAAACAAAACGCAAGCAGGAUAGUGUGCACAAUGAUAUACUAUCAAAGAUGUUUGCUGCAGUGUCUUUUAUAGCACUAUACAUUCGCAACAACAUAAAUGAUCCCUAAAUAUAGGUCUAGUCACAUAGUUAUAUCCAUAUAUUAGGAUUCUGUGUAGAUAUUGUAAAGCAGAGUACUACUCAACAACAGGAGAGUGCAGUCACAGUUAUAAAUGAGAUUAUAAAACAGUCUGUAAAAUGUGACCCCAAUUUUAUAAUCAUAGACAAACACAAAUAUAUUUUCAUCUAUGAUGAAGAAAAUAUCUCAAAAUAUAUACCAUGGCAUCCUUACAGUUGUUAAAAUGAUGGAAUUUUGUAGUUUUCUAUAAAUUUAUUUUCUAAAAUGUAAAUAUUAAACAUAUUUUUGUAAUCAGUUAUAAAAAUAUGUUGUAAUUUUCCUUGAUUCUAAAGCAUCAUCCCCUCUGCCAUAUGUUAAUAUUUUUUAAAUUGGAACAUAUUUUAAUGUAGUGUUUCUUUUUUAACCUCCAAAUGCUAUUGCUAAAUCAAUAAUGUCUGCUAAUUGAGGAAAUGUGAUAUUUAUAGUGAAAUAAAUUAGCAAA